rnacentral:misc_RNA from 1 species
UCAGUUGAAUCAUGCAGGGCCAAUGUUCCCUUCAUUAGAUUCUCAUGCUACCAAUAUUAAUGCUCAGAUGAAAUUCAUGGCCCUAGAGAACAUUCAUCAAGAUCCUCCUAAUCAUCAAUUUUCUGCAAAUUUACUACGUCCUCCAUUCCACCACCCCAGUGCUGCACUGAAUGGAUUAGGUCCUAACCCACAUAAUCCUAUGUUGCAGCAAAUGCAUAUGCCUGGCAAUUUUCCUUCACGCCACCUUCUACGUGGAUUUGCCAGGGGUGCACCUUUGCAUCCACAUCCCAACAAUCACGCCCCCGGUAUUAUACAGGAGCCAAACCCAAUGCAAGGUUUCCCUUUUGG